GGCUACUCAAAGAGCUAAGACAGUAUCCGAACAUAACUCAGGAUACCUAGCAUCCGGAUCCUAGCAUGUAUCACAUAUUAAAUGAGCUCAUAACACAUGACUAUCCUAGUGACAUGCACUUGUAUCCUCAACUAUUCCUAAGGUUCAAAGGAGAUUUUAGACUUCCAGACCUUUACCGAACGUACUCGCAUAAUGGUUUCUUUCACA
rnacentral:lncRNA from 1 species